rnacentral:misc_RNA from 1 species
CAAUGGAACUGGAAUGGUUAAGGCAGGAUUUGCUGGUGAUGAUGCUCCUCGAGCAGUGUUUCCCAGUAUUGUGGGUCGUCCCAGGCACACAGGUGUUAUGGUCGGAAUGGGACAGAAGGAUGCGUAUGUGGGUGAUGAAGCUCAAUCUAAGAGAGGUAUCUUGACCUUGAAAUAUCCCAUUGAGCAUGGUAUAGUCAGCAAUUGGGAUGAUAUGGAGAAGAUAUGGCAUCAUACUUUUUACAAUGAGCUUCGAGUUGCUCCUGAGGAACACCCUGUUCUCCUGACUGAGGCACCCCUUAAUCCCAAGGCCAACAGAGAGAAGAUG